rnacentral:rRNA from 1 species
GGGUUGUGAGGUUAAGCGACUAAGCGUACACGGUGGAUGCCCUGGCAGUCAGAGGCGAUGAAGGACGUGCUAAUCUGCGAUAAGCGUCGGUAAGGUGAUAUGAACCAUUAUAACCGGCGAUUUCCGAAUGGGGAAACCCAGUGUGAUUCGUCACACUAUCAUUAACUGAAUCCAUAGGUUAAUGAGGCGAACCGGGGGAACUGAAACAUCUAAGUACCCCGAGGAAAAGAAAUCAACCGAGAUUCCCCCAGUAGCGGCGAGCGAACGGGGAGCAGCCCAGAGCCUGAAUCAGUGUGUGUGUUAGUGGAAGCGUCUGGAAAGGCGUGCGAUACAGGGUGACAGCCCCGUACACAAAAAUGCACAUAUUGUGAGCUCGAUGAGUAGGGCGGGACACGUGGUAUCCUGUCUGAAUAUGGGGGGACCAUCCUCCAAGGCUAAAUACUCCUGACUGACCGAUAGUGAACCAGUACCGUGAGGGAAAGGCGAAAAGAACCCCGGCGAGGGGAGUGAAAAAGAACCUGAAACCGUGUACGUACAAGCAGUGGGAGCACGCUUAGGCGUGUGACUGCGUACCUUUUGUAUAAUGGGUCAGCGACUUAUAUUCUGU